GGGGGUAUACUCAGUGGUAGAGUGCUUGCCUAGCAAGCAAGCGGCCUGGGUUCCACCCCCAGCAGUCCCC
rnacentral:tRNA from 1 species